rnacentral:rRNA from 1 species
AUUAACGCUGGCGGCGUGCCUAAUCCAUGCAAGUCGCGCGAACGGACGAGAAGCUUGCUUCUCUGAUGUUAGCGGCGGACGGGUGAGUAACACGUGGAUAACCUACCUAUAAGACUGGGAUAACUUCGGGAAACCGGAGCUAAUACCGGAUAAUAUUUUGAACCGCAUGGUUCAAAAGUGAAAGACGGUCUUGCUGUCACUUAUAGAUGGAUCCGCGCUGCAUUAGCUAGUUGGUAAGGUAACGGCUUACCAAGGCAACGAUGCAUAGCCGACCUGAGAGGGUGAUCGGCCACACUGGAACUGAGACACGGUCCAGACUCCUACGGGAGGCAGCAGUAGGGAAUCUUCCGCAAUGGGCGAAAGCCUGACGGAGCAACGCCGCGUGAGUGAUGAAGGUCUUCGGAUCGUAAAACUCUGUUAUUAGGGAAGAACAUAUGUGUAAGUAACUGUGCACAUCUUGACGGUACCUAAUCAGAAAGCCACGGCUAACUACGUG